AGUUUGAUCCUGGCUCAGGAUGAACGCUGGCGGCAGGCCUAACACAUGCAAGUCGAGCGGAUGACGGAAGCUUGCUCCUGGAUUCAGCGGCGGACGGGUGAGUAAUGCCUAGGAAUCUGCCUGGUAGUGGGGGACAACGUUUCGAAAGGAACGCUAAUACCGCAUACGUCCUACGGGAGAAAGCAGGGGACCUUCGGGCCUUGCGCUAUCAGAUGAGCCUAGGUCGGAUUAGCUAGUUGGUGAGGUAAUGGCUCACCAAGGCGACGAUCCGUAACUGGUCUGAGAGGAUGAUCAGUCACACUGGAACUGAGACACGGUCCAGACUCCUACGGGAGGCAGCAGUGGGGAAUAUUGGACAAUGGGCGAAAGGUGAUCCAGCCAUGCCGCGUGUGUGAAGAAGGUCUUCGGAUUGUAAAGCACUUUAAGUUGGGAGGAAGGGUUGUAGAUUAAUACUCUGCAAUUUUGACGUUACCGACAGAAUAAGCACCGG
rnacentral:rRNA from 1 species